GGUUAAGCGACUAAGCGUACACGGUGGAUGCCCUGGCAGUCAGAGGCGAUGAAGGACGUGCUAAUCUGCGAAAAGCGUCGGUAAGGUGAUAUGAACCGUUAUAACCGGCGAUGUCCGAAUGGGGAAACCCAGUGUGUUUCGACACACUAUCAUUAACUGAAUCCAUAGGUUAAUGAGGCGAACCGGGGGAACUGAAACAUCUAAGUACCCCGAGGAAAAGAAAUCAACCGAGAUUCCCCCAGUAGCGGCGAGCGAACGGGGAGGAGCCCAGAGCCUGAAUCAGUGUGUGUGUUAGUGGAAGCGUCUGGAAAGGCGUGCGAUACAGGGUGACAGCCCCGUACACAAAAAUGCACAUGCUGUGAGCUCGAUGAGUAGGGCGGGACACGUGGUAUCCUGUCUGAAUAUGGGGGGACCAUCCUCCAAGGCUAAAUACUCCUGACUGACCGAUAGUGAACCAGUACCGUGAGGGAAAGGCGAAAAGAACCCCGGCGAGGGGAGUGAAAAAGAACCUGAAACCGUGUACGUACAAGCAGUGGGAGCCUCUUUAUGGGGUGACUGCGUACCUUUUGUAUAAUGGGUCAGCGACUUAUAUUCUGUAGCAAGGUUAACCGAAUAGGGGAGCCGGAGGGAAACCGAGUCUUAACUGGGCGUUAAGUUGCAGGGUAUAGACCCGAAACCCGGUGAUCUAGCCAUGGGCAGGUUGAAGGUUGGGUAACACUAACUGGAGGACCGAACCGACUAAUGUUGAAAAAUUAGCGGAUGACUUGUGGCUGGGGGUGAAAGGCCAAUCAAACCGGGAGAUAGCUGGUUCUCCCCGAAAGCUAUUUAGGUAGCGCCUCGUGAAUUCAUCUCCGGGGGUAGAGCACUGUUUCGGCAAGGGGGUCAUCCCGACUUACCAACCCGAUGCAAACUGCGAAUACCGGAGAAUGUUAUCACGGGAGACACACGGCGGGUGCUAACGUCCGUCGUGAAGAGGGAAACAACCCAGACCGCCAGCUAAGGUCCCAAAGUCAUGGUUAAGUGGGAAACGAUGUGGGAAGGCCCAGACAGCCAGGAUGUUGGCUUAGAAGCAGCCAUCAUUUAAAGAAAGCGUAAUAGCUCACUGGUCGAGUCGGCCUGCGCGGAAGAUGUAACGGGGCUAAACCAUGCACCGAAGCUGCGGCAGCGACGCUGAUGCGUUGUUGGGUAGGGGAGCGUUCUGUAAGCCUGUGAAGGUGUGCUGUGAGGCAUGCUGGAGGUAUCAGAAGUGCGAAUGCUGACAUAAAGUAACGAUAAAGCGGGUGAAAAGCCCGCUCGCCGGAAGACCAAGGGUUCCUGUCCAACGUUAAUCGGGGCAGGGUGAGUCGACCCCUAAGGCGAGGCCGAAAGGCGUAGUCGAUGGGAAACAGGUUAAUAUUCCUGUACUUGGUGUUACUGCGAAGGGGGGACGGAGAAGGCUAUGUUGGCCGGGCGACGGUUGUCCCGGUUUAAGCGUGUAGGCUGGUUUUCCAGGCAAAUCCGGAGAAUCAAGGCUGAGGCGUGAUGACGAGGCACUACGGUGCUGAAGCAACAAAUGCCCUGCUUCCAGGAAAAGCCUCUAAGCAUCAGGUAACAUCAAAUCGUACCCCAAACCGACACAGGUGGUCAGGUAGAGAAUACCAAGGCGCUUGAGAGAACUCGGGUGAAGGAACUAGGCAAAAUGGUGCCGUAACUUCGGGAGAAGGCACGCUGAUAUGUAGGUGAAGCGACUUGCUCGUGGAGCUGAAAUCAGUCGAAGAUACCAGCUGGCUGCAACUGUUUAUUAAAAACACAGCACUGUGCAAACACGAAAGUGGACGUAUACGGUGUGACGCCUGCCCGGUGCCGGAAGGUUAAUUGAUGGGGUCAGCGCAAGCGAAGCUCUUGAUCGAAGCCCCGGUAAACGGCGGCCGUAACUAUAACGGUCCUAAGGUAGCGAAAUUCCUUGUCGGGUAAGUUCCGACCUGCACGAAUGGCGUAAUGAUGGCCAGGCUGUCUCCACCCGAGACUCAGUGAAAUUGAACUCGCUGUGAAGAUGCAGUGUACCCGCGGCAAGACGGAAAGACCCCGUGAACCUUUACUAUAGCUUGACACUGAACACUGGUCCUUGAUGUGUAGGAUAGGUGGGAGGCUUUGAAGUGUGGACGCCAGUCUGCAUGGAGCCGUCCUUGAAAUACCACCCUUUAAUGGCUGGUGUUCUAACGUAGGUCCCUUAUCGGGGUUGCGGACAGUGUCUGGUGGGUAGUUUGACUGGGGCGGUCUCCUCCUAAAGAGUAACGGAGGAGCACGAAGGUUGGCUAAUCCUGGUCGGACAUCAGGAGGUUAGUGCAAUGGCAUAAGCCAGCUUGACUGCGAGCGUGACGGCGCGAGCAGGUGCGAAAGCAGGUCAUAGUGAUCCGGUGGUUCUGAAUGGAAGGGCCAUCGCUCAACGGAUAAAAGGUACUCCGGGGAUAACAGGCUGAUACCGCCCAAGAGUUCAUAUCGACGGCGGUGUUUGGCACCUCGAUGUCGGCUCAUCACAUCCUGGGGCUGAAGUAGGUCCCAAGGGUAUGGCUGUUCGCCAUUUAAAGUGGUACGCGAGCUGGGUUUAGAACGUCGUGAGACAGUUCGGUCCCUAUCUGCCGUGGGCGCUGGAGAACUGAGGGGGGCUGCUCCUAGUACGAGAGGACCGGAGUGGACGCAUCACUGGUGUUCGGGUUGUCAUGCCAAUGGCACUGCCCGGUAGCUAAAUGCGGAAGAGAUAAGUGCUGAAAGCAUCUAAGCACGAAACUUGCCCCGAGAUGAGUUCUCCCUGACCCUUUAAGGGUCCUGAAGGAACGUUGAAGACGACGACGUUGAUAGGCCGGGUGUGUAAGCGCAGCGAUGCGUUGAGCUAACCGGUACUAAUGAACCGUGAGGCUUAACCUU
rnacentral:rRNA from 1 species